AUCUAUAUGCCAUAUGUUUUUAAAGAUAAACUUUAAGUGGAAUUCAAAAAGGCAUUAUUUCAAAGUGGGAUAUUAAUUGUCAUUGUUUGGUUGCAUAGGAGGCAUACAGCACGCAAAAAUAAAGGAAGUGUCGAAAAAAAGCUCUAGGUUUUUGGAUUGCUGUUGCGGUAGAUCAGAACCUGAAAGAUGACGCUCAUGUGUGAUAAAUUUGGAGUGUUGAUGUUGUAUUUUGUGUUGGUUGAGAGUCGUGUGAGUACAUCCAAAAUUUCAAGUUGUCUUAAAAAAAGGAAGGGGAGAGCGAUACCAAUAUACAUACUUCCUGGUGAAUGGGUUAUGUUUAAUUGCAGUGUAAAUCACAACGAUUUAAAUCGAGAAAUUUUACAUGUUGACAACAACCAAAUAAAAAUAUUAAGCAAAAAUGUUUUCAAUGUUACAAACUUGACAAAAUCAGAUAUAUACACCUGCAACCGUUGCCAAGUGCGCUACAAUGUCAUGUCAUGGUUCAAUCAGAAACUCCAUCCUAUCAAGUACCUUUAAUCACAAAAGAACCAGACAAAACAAUAUAUGAUUACAAGGAACGUGUUACAUUGAAUUGCAAGCUUAUUGGCCCUUCAUAUUUAAUAGCAAUUUAUUACAGAAUAUCAUGGAAAAGAAAUGGUAAGAC